UGUGAGAGUGAUGAGUUGCACUAAUCAUUCAGGGCUUUGUUGCAGUGGCAUCAAACCCUGAUCUGACCCAAACUGAGGACACACUGUGUGCACAGGGGCCAUCUGACUCCAC